AAUUAAUACCGCAUACGACCUACGGGUGAAAGCAGGGGAUCGCAAGACCUUGCGCUAUUACGAGCGGCCGAUGUCAGAUUAGCUAGUUGGUAGGUAAAGGCCUACCAAGGCGACGAUCUGUAGCGGGUCUGAGAGGAUGAUCCGCCACACUGGGACUGAGACACGGCCCAGACUCCUACGGGAGGCAGCAGUGGGGAAUUUUGGACAAUGGGCGAAAGCCUGAUCCAGCCAUGCCGCGUGAGUGAAGAAGGCCUUCGGGUUGUAAAGCUCUUUCGGCUGGGAAGAAAUCGCACAGGCUAAUACUCUGUGUGGAUGACGGUACCAGCACAAGAAGCACCGGCUAACUAUGUG
rnacentral:rRNA from 1 species